GAGAGAGAGAGAGAGGGAGAGAUGGGUUUUUUUUUUUUUUUUUUUUUUUUGAAGAGAGAAGGGCUGUUGAGUUUCAGAGAAUCAUCGGCUCUGAUUUGAGAAAAAUCCCAAAUCUCAGAGAGGGGCAACCACCCUUAGAAACAUCCCAUCUCUCUGAACGAGCCUCA